ACUCAUACGGGAGGCAGCAGUAGGGAAUAUUGGUUAAUGUGCGAAAGCGCGAACCAGCAACGCCGCGUGUGCGAUGAAGGCCUUCGGGUCGUAAAGCACUUUUUGCAGGGAAGAGGAAGGACGGUACCUGCAGAAUAAGUCUCGGCUAACUACGUGCCAGCAGCCGCGGUAAAACGUAGGAGACGAGCGUUAUCCGGAUUUACUGGGCGUAAAGCGCGUGCAGGCGGCAUGGCAAGUUGGAUGUGAAAGCUCCCGGCUUAACUGGGAGAGGUCGUUCAAUACUGCCAGGCUUGAGAGUGGUAGAGGGAAGCGGAAUUCCGGGUGUAGUGGUGAAAUGCGUAGAUAUCCGGAGGAACACCAGUGGCGAAAGCGGCUUCCUGGCCCAUUUCUGACGCUCAGACGCGAAAGCUAGGGUAGCAAACGGGAUUAGAGACCCCGGUAGUCCUAGCCGUAAACGAUGUGAACUUGGCGUUGGCGGGUUUAAAUCCGUCAGUGCCGUAGCUAACGCGAUAAGUUCACCGCCUGGGGACUACGGCCGCAAGGUUAAAACUCAAAGGAAUUGACGG
rnacentral:rRNA from 1 species